rnacentral:rRNA from 1 species
CGAAGGGGGCUAGCGUUGCUCGGAAUUACUGGGCGUAAAGGGAGCGUAGGCGGACAGUUAAGUCAGAGGUGAAAGCCCAGGGCUCAACCCUGGAAUUGCCUUUGAUACUGAUUGUCUUGAGUAUGGGAGAGGUGUGCGGAACUCCGAGUGUAGAGGUGAAAUUCGUAGAUAUUCGGAAGAACACCAGUGGCGAAGGCGGCACACUGGCCCAUUACUGACGCUGAGGCUCGAAAGCGUGGGGAGCAAACAGGAUUAGAUACCCUGGUAGUCCACGCCGUAAACGAUGAGUGCUAGUUGUCGGCAUGCAUGCAUGUCGGUGACGCAGCUAACGCAUUAAGCACUCCGCCUGGGGAGUACGGUCGCAAGAUUA